rnacentral:rRNA from 1 species
CCUACGGGAGGCAGCAGUGGGGAAUCUUAGACAAUGGGCGCAAGCCUGAUCUAGCCAUGCCGCGUGUGUGAUGAAGGCCUUAGGGUCGUAAAGCACUUUCGCCAGAGAUGAUAAUGACGGUAUCUGGUGAAGAAACCCCGGCUAACUCCGUGCCAGCAGCCGCGGUAAUACGGAGGGGGUUAGCGUUGUUCGGAAUUACUGGGCGUAAAGCGUACGUAGGCGGAUUAGUAAGUUAGGGGUGAAAUCCCAGGGCUCAACCCUGGAACUGCCUUUAAAACUCUUGGUCUAGAGUUCGAGAGAGGUGAGUGGAAUUCCAAGUGUAGAGGUGAAAUUCGUAGAUAUUUGGAGGAACACCAGUGGCGAAGGCGGCUCACUGGCUCGAUACUGACGCUGAGGUACUAAAGUGUGGGGAGCAAACAGGAUUAGAUACCCUGGUAG